CUACGGGUGGCAGCAGUAGGGAAUAUUGCGCAAUGGGCGAAAGCCUGACGCAGCGACGCCGCGUGAGUGAUGAAGGUCCUCUGGAUUGUAAAGCUCUGUAAGGAGGGAAGAACCGCCUGGUGUAACGGCCAGGUCUGACGGUACCUCCAAAGUAAGCACCGGCUAAAUAAGUGCCAGCAGCCGCGGUAAUACUUAUGGUGCGAGCGUUGUCCGGAAUGACUGGGCGUAAAGGGUGCGUAGGCGGACUUUCAAGUCAGGUGUGAAAUCCCCAGGCUUAACCUGGGAACUGCGCUUGAAACUGGAAGUCUAGAGUAUGUGAGGGGUUAGCGGAAUUCCCGGAGUAGCGGUGAAAUGCGUAGAGAUCGGGAAGAACACCGGUGGCGAAGGCGGCUAACUGGCACAUGACUGACGCUGAGGCACGAAAGCGUGGGGAGCGAACGGGAUUAGAUACCCCGGUAGUC
rnacentral:rRNA from 1 species